GGUAAAGUGAACUCAACUCAAGUGAAGAGGGAAACAGAAAAAGGAUUCUGAGGCCCAAAUGCGAUGGAGUUAAGACAAGGACCCAAGAGAAAACAGUAGAAUCCUUAAAGUAAGGGGGGAUAGAAUUUAGGUUCAUUAAAGGUAUACUCUGUAUAUAUUUAAUGACCCUGUAGGGUAGAUAUUGUUAGUCUCGUUUGUUAAAUAACAAAAACUCAGCUGAGUAAGUUUGAAGAUCAACUUGGCUUUAUUCAUUGACUUGUGAAUCCAACAGCAUCCCAUCUAGCAAGUAGAAAGCAUCUCCAGUGAGCUGUAGAAAAGGAAGGGAUUUUUAAAGGCAGAAAGGGGGUGGAAAAAGGAAAUUGUUAGCAAAGAAUCCAUUUUUUUCCUGCAAGGUUGCCCUCCUAAGGGGAGUGGGAGGGGCCUAUUGGGCAGAUGACUUCACUAGUGCUGACCAGGUAAUUCCAGGUUGACUGGUUAACAGUUAGAUUCCUGGGAGAGGUUGAGACUGCAGUUGGGUUGGGUAUUAAGUCUUGGUUUGCUGACACGAGGCUUAGCAUAAGUGACUCCAUUUUGGGCCUACUGUCUCCUUUUUAACAAAUUUAACAGACUAAUAUGUUGAGGCCCAGGGAGGUAACCUGUGCUGUGUCAGCCGGCAGGCAGUAGAGCUGGGAUCUGAAUGACUGGAAGGCUGACUCCAAAGCUAGUGUAUUUCUCCGAAUACCAAGUACUUUCUCAAGAUAGUAAUUGCAUAGCUUAUUUCUGGGUUCCCUAUAAACUUCCUGACUUACUCCUUGUAAAGAAAAAGAAAGCAAGAAGAUGAAGUUACACUGUGUUUUUGUUGAAGACAGAUCCCUAUUCUAGAUCCCUACAUCCUUAGAGGGGGCUGGCCCCUUCCAGCCAGCAUCAGUUCCCACAGUGCAGUUGUGAAGGUGACCAUCUCAGUCUGGGAGCUACAGCAUCAUUGUACCAGCCAGGGACCCACCGGGAGGCAGAUGGAACGCUCAAAAGGAUAAUGGAGGAGAAUUUAACAAAAAAAACAAUUUACAGAGGUGUGGGUAGGGUUAGGGAACCAACGAGGGAUG
rnacentral:lncRNA from 1 species